rnacentral:rRNA from 1 species
GACGAACGCUGGCGGCGUGCCUAAUACAUGCAAGUAGAACGCACAGUUUAUACCGUAGCUUGCUACACCAUAGACUGUGAGUUGCGAACGGGUGAGUAACGCGUAGGUAACCUGCCUGGUAGCGGGGGGUAACUAUUGGAAACGAUAGCUAAUACCGCAUAAUAUUGAUUAUUGCAUGAUAAUUGAUUGAAAGAUGCUAUUGCAUCACUACCAGAUGGACCUGCGUUGUAUUAGCUAGUAGGUGAGGUAACGGCUCACCUAGGCGACGAUACAUAGCCGACCUGAGAGGGUGAUCGGCCACACUGGGACUGAGACACGGCCCAGACUCCUACGGGAGGCAGCAGUAGGGAAUCUUCGGCAAUGGACGAAAGUCUGACCGAGCAACGCCGCGUGAGUGAAGAAGGUUUUCGGAUCGUAAAGCUCUGUUGUAAGAGAAGAACGGGUGUGAGAGUGGAAAGUUCACACUGUGACGGUAGCUUACCAGAAAGGGACGGCUAACUACGUG